UGGGGAAUAUUGGACAAUGGGCGCAAGCCUGAUCCAGCAAUGCCGCGUGGGUGAAGAAGGUCUUCGGAUUGUAAAGCCCUUUCGGCGGGGACGAUGAUGACGGUACCCGCAGAAGAAGCCCCGGCUAACUUCGUGCCAGCAGCCGCGGUAAUACGAAGGGGGCUAGCGUUGCUCGGAAUGACUGGGCGUAAAGGGCGCGUAGGCGGUUCACACAGUCAGGCGUGAAAUUCCCGGGCUCAACCUGGGGGCUGCGCUUGCGACGUGCGGGCUGGAGUGCGGAAGAGGGUCGUGGAAAUUCCCAGUGUAGAGGUGAAAUUCGUAGAUAUUGGGAAAGAACACCGGUGGCGAAGGCGGCGACCUGGUCCGUUGACUGACGCUGAGGCGCGAAAGCGUGGGGAGCAAAACA
rnacentral:rRNA from 1 species